UGCCAGCAGCCGCGGUAAUACGUAGGGGGCGAGCGUUGUCCGGAGUUACUGGGCGUAAAGGGCGUGUAGGCGGUUGGACAAGUCUGGUGUGAAAUGCAUUGGCUUAACCGGUGCGCUGCGCUGGAAACUGUCUGACUGGAGUUCGGGAGGGGUCACUGGAAUCCCCGGUGUAACGGUGAAAUGUGUAGAUAUCAGGAGGAACACCGGUGGCGAAGGCGGUUCUCUGGGCAUUACCUGACGCUGAGGAGCGAAAGUGUGGGGAGCGAACAGGAUUAGAUA
rnacentral:rRNA from 1 species